GACGAAGGAUGCAAGCGUUAUCCGGAUUCAUUGGGUUUAAAGGGAGCGUAGGUGGCCUUAUAAGUCAGUGGUGAAAUCUCCGGGCUUAACCCGGAAAGGUCAAUCGAUACUGCGGGGGCUAGAGUGCAGAAGGGGGCAACUGGAAUUCUCGGUGUAGCGGUGAAAUGCGUAGAUAUCGGAAGGAACAUCAGUGGCGAAGGCGACUUCCUGGACUAAUACUGACGCUCAGGUGCGAAAAGCGUGGGGGAGCAAAACAGGG
rnacentral:rRNA from 1 species